UUUUUUUUUUUUUUUUUUUUUGUCUGGAGGCCUUGUAUUUUCUGCAGUUUCAUGAACCACUUGUGUCGGAAUCUGUGGUAUUGAUGAUUCCAAGAUUGUAGAAAGUCUCUGUCUUUCAGCCCCGCUGCCAAAGCAGAAGCCAUAAUUGGUCUGUGCUGUUUCAAGGUUGUUUAUUCUGUUUAUCUCUAACAUGUUCUGCUUCCCUGCCGCAGCUCUGUCCUGCAGGGCAGCAUGUGGGGCUCUGCCCUCAGUGGGAUAUUACAAACAUUAAAUACCAGAAACUACCUGUGCUGGAUUUACAAUAACGUGCCAAUAUCUGUCACCUACGUUGGACAGUGUGUCCCCAGCCUGAACCAACAGAAAAAUGCCAACACCACAGUGAAACAUGGAGGGCAUGAAGAAGGAGAAAAGGACAAGACACACCCAAUUUCCUCCAUCUUGUCCCUUUUGAACCCCUGAUCUAGAAUCCUAAAAUUUUACUUUUGCACCCGUGCCACACUUAAUUAUUACUUAUAUCAAACACUCAGAGCUCGUAAUUCAUCCUGUAAGAUUGAAAACUCUUUUCCAUGGACAGAGAUCACAGCCAGUGCUCUGGGGGCUCUGUCCAGGGGGGUUCCUGACCCCUGCCAGGGUCCCAGACCUGCCAGGGCAGCCAGAGGGAAGCCCUGGAUUCCCACACACUUGUUUCCCCCAGUUUCUACCCAUGGCCAAACUGCUACCAGAAAAGGGGUCUGCUGGAGAUGCCACCCACUGCCAUAGGAAGCAUGCUGCUCAUGGCACGUGGCAGCUGCUGAGUGGAUGUGGGGAUGGCCCUGAGUCCUCCAGAAGCUUCUCUCCCAUGAGCAUCUCUGGAGUGUCCUGGAGUGUCCCUGCCUGACUAAGCAGCAAGGCCAUCAGGAAGCACAAAAAGAGCUUCUUUUUCUCCUGGCACACAAGAGAACAGCCUUGCUGUCCUGUGGAAUUUUAUAAUUAGCCUUUCUUAUGUUGUGGCUGCUCCUUGAAUAAGGCUGGCUGUGUUUUCUUUUCCUCAGAGCAGUGUAAUCCCCCAGCCUGAUACUGCCAAGCCACUCAAAGCACACACAGGAAUGAUGUAGACAUGGGAAAAGGCUGAGAUGCUGCUCCAUUGCCCAGAGAAAUCCUGGAUGGGGUGGAGAGCAUCUCAUCCCUGCAUGUCCACAUUAUGGUCCUGCUCUGCCAAACCUAGAUGUGGAUUGAUGCUGGAGCUGAUGAUUCCCAGUCCAUGGGCCCUGGCAGACAGCCAGGACAGUGGGGAGUUUGUCAAAGUUUAGGCAAAACAGACUUAAAAGGCACCUUUGAAACUUGUGCUCAUGAUCUGGUUAAUUAGAGCUUUGCUGCUACUGGGAAAUAAAACUGCCUAAUUGCUAAUUACUGAAUCCCUGCAAAAAAGGAACAGCAGAAGCAGUUGGCAACAGUUGUCGCCAGAACUGGCUUUGUGCAGAAUUAAAAUACAAAAACCCAGACUUUUUAGGGCAUUUAGAUGUCUGGGCUUUGCAAAGGAGCAAGUGAAAAAUCCAGCAGCAAGAGCCACAAGGCAAAUUCUGCCUCCCAUGAGAACGAGGGCAG
rnacentral:lncRNA from 1 species